rnacentral:tRNA from 1 species
GUAGACAUAGUUUAACAAAAACACCAGACUGUGAUUCUGAAGACAGGGGUUAGAAUCCCCUUGUUCACC